rnacentral:rRNA from 1 species
UACGUAGGGUGCGAGCGUUGUCCGGAAUUAUUGGGCGUAAAGAGCUCGUAGGCGGUUUGUCACGUCUGCUGUGAAAUCCCGAGGCUCAACCUCGGGCCUGCAGUGGGUACGGGCAGACUGGAGUGCGGUAGGGGAGAAUGGAAUUCCUGGUGUAGCGGUGGAAUGCGCAGAUAUCAGGAGGAACACCGGUGGCGAAGGCGGAUCUCUGGGCCUUACCUGACGCUGAGGCGCGAAAGCUAGGGGAGCAAACAGG